ensembl:lncRNA
GGUUGUGGCCACUCCUCCACCGCUUUCACUUUACAGGGAUCCAUUCGGAUGCUCCCAGCUGCAAUGAUGUAUGAAAUAGGUCGAUGGCGCAAUCAUAGGGGCGGUGGGGGGGGGGGCAGAGAUGUCGCCCGGGACUUGCUAAAGACUUCCCGCAGGUCCUGGUAUUCGGCCGGAACGGAGGACAAGUCAGGGGGGUCCCCCGAUGCCGGGUUGGGGGAAGCCGAGGGGUGUUGUGCAGCCCCCAAGCAGUGGGCAUGGCAGAAUGGGCUCCAGCCCUUUAUGGAGCCCGUUGUCCAAUCAAUGAGGGGUUUAUGCUUUUGCAGCCAGGAAUGGCCCAGAACCACAGGUACGUGAGGAGAACUUGGAGUGGAGUGGAGGAGUGGAGAGGCGUUGGGUCGAGAUGCCCAGUUGCUGGACCAGGGCGGAGUCAAUGAAGCUCUCAUCAGCCCCGGAGUGAAUGAGCACUCUGAUGGUGUUGGAUUGGGCCCCCCACAAAAGAAUUGCAUGCAGCGGGGCACAGGUAGUAUGAGUCCAGGGAGUCUCUGUUUGGCCCACCAGCAUACCCGCCCCUACUGAUGAGCCUGCUCUUUUAGUGGGCAGGUGGAGAUGUAAUGGCCGGAAGUGCUACAGUACAAACAGCUGCGGCUGCUAAAUCGCCUCUCCCGCUCAGCAGGGCUUAUUCUCGCCCUUCCGAGGUCCAUGGGCUCUGGUCUAUCGACUUUGUGAGGCUUCGGAUAAUUCCGGAAAGACUCUGCUGAGCCCCUAGUGUCUCUUUGGUUGGAGAGCCGGAUACUUCCAGUUUGUGGUGGGUUAGGGGGGGCUGAUUGUCUCUCCCGGUUUCUAUCCCGCAGCCGGCUAUCUAUCCGCAUAGAAAGGUUCACGAGGGAGUCGAGAUCAGGGGGCAGCUCUCGUGCUGCUAGCUCAUCCUUGAUAAUGUCGGACAGCCCAUGAAGAAAAGCGUCGAAGAGAGAGUCGGAAUUCCAUGAACUAUCCGCAGCCAGAGUGCGGAAGUCCACCGCGUAGUCUGACACGCUGCGAGAGCCCUGUCGGAGUCGCAGGAGUUUACGGGCUGCUUCCCUCCCCGACACCGGUGACUCAAAAACCUUUUUUAUUUCAGCCAUAAGGCAGCCAGACUGGAGCAGAUGGGUGUUUGCUGUUCCCACACUGCCGUAGCCCAAGUUCCUGCCCUCCCGGACAUAAGCGAAACGAUGUACGCUACCUUGGAACGCUCCGAUUGAAACGAGGAUGGUUGUAGCUCGAAGAUCAAGGAACACUUGGAGAGGAAUGAACGACAGGUUCUCGGGUCUCCAGAAUAGCGCUCAGGAGGUGUUAAGUUGGGUUCCCGAGGGGCCGUGUUGGUUACCGGCAAGGCCGCACUGGCUGCGAGGCCACCUUGGUCUGGGGCAGGGGCCGCUGUAGUUGGCAAUCCCAUAGACAUCCCACGAAACUGCUCCAUCAGGGAUUGAUAUGUCCGAUCGUGGUGGUCAGAGAUGCUUUGAAGUCCCUUCAUGACCCGUUGUAGGAUGUCUUCGUGCCUUCCUAUAGCAGCUCCCUGAAGAGCGACGGCAUUCCGGAGGGAGUCAGGUUCUGCUGGAUCUGUCAUGGCCAGUUCGUACUAUCACAGCUCAGACAGAGACCCAAACGCAGAUAUGAGGAAUAAGGUUUAAUGAAGAGGAAUUCGGGCAGGCAGUGUCAAUGUCGGAGGCAGGCAGGAGUUCGGUGCACGGGAGAUCAGGGGUUCAGAGGUGGCAGGCAGUGUCGUUGUCAGAGGCAGGCCGGAGUUCGGUACACAGGAGGUUAUAUGCCCAAGGGAUAAUUGACAAACAGGGAACACCUGGUGUGGGAGGAGACAGGGGAAAAACAGGUGAAAACAGGUGAACACAAUUAGGGCGUGACACCUCCGCUCUCUUCACUGGCUACCAGUGGCUUCCCGCAUCCGGUUCAAAACAUUGGUGCUCACGUACCAUGCUGUGAAUGGAUCGGGUCCAGCUUACAUCCAGGACAUGGUAAAACCCUACAUACCAACCCGCACUCUCCACUCUGCAUCUGCAAAACUGCUUGUUCCUCCCUCACUAAGAGCAAAGUACUCGACAAGAUCACGACUGUUUGAUGUCCUGGCUCUGAAAUGGUGGAAUGGGCUCUCUAAUGACAUCAGGACCGCAGAGAGCCUUCACAUCUUCCGCCGCAAACUAAAGACACACUUCUUCAGACUCUACCUUGACUAAAAGACUAACAAAUUGUAGUACUUAAAUUGUACUUAUAAUGCAACUAAUGCCACUUAUCUAUAGCAAAUUGCUUAUUUGAUGAAAUUGCCCUUUGUUUCUUGCUCUUCUGAGUUUGUAUCCCUAUGGUUGAACGCACUUAUUGUAAGUCACUUUGGAUAAAAGCUAAAUGACAUGUAAUGUAAUGUAACUCAUUAGAUCUUCACCCUUUUAGUGAGCAUACAUACUUCAACGUAUCUUUCCGUGUGUUCAAUGGAAAUUGGGAUAUCUUACAUGUAAUUUAUUUUCUUAUGAAAUAGAACUGUUUAAGUAUAAGCUUGCAUUGUGAUCCAUACAGCUGACUCCCCUUACACAGAUCCUGAUCUUUUAGUGUUGGAUAACAGGUAAUUAUUGUAUGCCAUUAGCAUAGUUCAGCACACAGGCCCCCACCCAUGAUCUCUCUUAAUAACUUUCCAAUUUAAUUUGUACUGCAGACUUCUGCAGACUCGUUGACGCUGUCAAACUGUGCAGCUUCUUGCAAGAAUGCGAUAUGACUCGACUGUUGAAGUUAAUCUACGAGACUAUUGUGGCAGAGAUAAAAUAUUUUAACGCAGUUAACGCAACUUGUUACUUCCGGUGUGCAUUGACCGCUGACACAAAACUGCCACGUGCAGUAUGAUUGGAGAGACCGAGACGGUUGUUGAAGAUGGAGAGAGGUUUUAUCAUUGGAAGUAAAGAAAAACAAAGGUCCGACAUACAGCGGAGGACUGUGCAGAGGAAUUCCUCAACGUGUCAAACCGAAGGGGUUGAGUGGCAAACAGACCACUUUUAGGCACUGGUGAUGUUCGAUACCACAGAUUUCCUUUCCGAUCCGAUACUGAGUAAAAUUCAGGCUGGUAUCGGUGAUACCGAUCCAAUACCGAUACUUUGUGCAUGGUAGAUCUAAAAAAAGUAGUGUAUUUUAAAUACAUAGCUUAGGAAUACAAGACAUCAUAGUCACUUAUUCAUUUAUUUAUUUUAAACUUUAAACUAAAAAGGUAGCGGCCUCAUUCACAAUAUAGCCGAGCUAUUACAACAACAGAAAAACAAGAGUGUUUGAAAAAGGUGUUUCCAUCACUAAAAAAAGAUCAUAAGUAAAAUAAUAAAACCAUUAGAAUAAUUAUCAGAAUAAUAAACAAAAAUGAGAACCACUAUAAAAAUGAAAGUUUGCAUCUUAAUUCACAUUACAUGAACAUGUUAACAGGAAAACACUUCAACAAAAGCAUCCAACAUUGACACUUUCCAUCAAGGAACAACAGCAUGUUUACGGUCUUCCCCUUAAGUCUGUUCUGUUUUUUUCUUAGAACCUCUCCUGCCUUUGAAAAGACUCUCUCUGCUGGUACAGGAGUGGCAGUAAUUCCCAGGUAUCUCACUGCUAGUUUGCUCAGGGCUGGGAAGGUUUGGUCAUGUUCUUUCCACCAAACCAGUGCAUCCCUGUCUCUGGGAAUCACUUUUUCUUCUGAGUACCGACGUACUUCAAUGAGCACAUCACUGGUAGCUGACCGGCGAUGUUGUCCUGACAAAACCUGCAUGUCAAAAUCAGUCCAUAUGCCUCCUCUUAAUACAGCUGAACCCGAGGGGGCAGGACUCUGGUUUGGCUCUGAGGCAGAAGGCCCAGAGGAAGAAGACCUGAGGUAGAGCUAACGGUGGCUGUUGAGCUUGGGGCUAAACUGGGAGCUGCCUGUCCUGUCUGAUAGACUUCCUGUAUUUCAGAAAGGAGACACUUUUUCAUUACCUCCACAUUGUCUUUGUCUCGAAAACCAAGAUGUUUAAAUCUAACAUCCAGAAAUGUCCUGGCAGCUAGACAGUAAAUGCUCUCAAUACCCCUGAAUCUGCGCUGACAUUGCUGUGCCAGUUUUGUGGGAAGGGAGCUGCCUUAAAGUUCACAGGCUGCUACAGCCCUGUGAAGAAGUGACACAAGCGGAAUCACUUUGGAGACUGAAACGUACUUUUCAGAUGAAACCUCUCGUGUCACUUCUUCAAAUGGCCGUAGUGCAUCAACUGUUUGCUUGAUGAGGGAUAAUUCUCCCUCAUCUAAGCACAAGGUGUUCCUCCCUAAAAGGCAGAGGACUGUGGUCAGCUUCCUUUUGCUCAAAGAGCCUCUCCAGCAUGUAAAAAAUGGAAUUCCAGCGAGUAGCUACUGACUGGAUCAGCUUGUGCUCUGCCACUUUCAACUGUUGUUGAACAGCCCUGAACUUCUCGGUGGCCUGUGUGCUGUGGUGAAAAAAGGACACGAGCGCACUGCAUUUUUCCAGCACUUUCACCACUUCUGGGACAGUUUUUAAACUGUCCUUUACGAUCAAAUUCACUGUAUGUGCAAAACAUGGAUGGUGCCUCCAUCCAGCCUUGUGUACUGCAGCAACCAUGUUUGCACCAUUGUCUGUCACUACUGCAGCAACCUUGUCAGUUAUGCCCCAUUUUUCUGCGAUGCGUUUAAGCGCUAAACUGAUAUUGUCAGCUGUAUGCUGCCCAUUGAAAGUUUGGGUUUCCAAAACAAAAUCCCUCAUUUCCCAGUUUUCAAUGAGAUGGCAUGUUACAGUCAAAUAUGCCUCUGUGGACACUGAGGUCCACAUAUCAGUGGUAAGUACAACACUAGAAGCAUUUUGCAAAGAUGCCCUUACUUUGCCUUUGCAUUCAUCAAACAUUUCUACAAGAUGGGUCUCUGUCAGUUUCUUUCUUCCUGGGAGUUUAUAUUUUGGGUCAAGAGCUCUCACAAAUCCUUGGAAAACUUGGUCUUCCACUAUGGACAGAGGCUGGAGAUCCUUCGCAAUCAUCUCUCCUAGGCAUCUUGUGAAUGUUGCUGCUGGGGAUCAUCUUUAAACGAUUUAAAAUCACAGCACAAAAUUAACAAGGGGGCUACACUGUACUGAAAUCUUAAUCUUAUUUUGUUUCAACUAUGUAUGUGUGCAUAUGUAUGCAUGUAUGUCUCUCCAAAUAGCCUAGAAUAAGGGGAUACAAACACUUGCUGUUUUAUAAUUCUGGGACUCAAGAAUUGCCAGUAAAAUAUUUAAUUAAAUAGAUGCCACAAUUUUUUGCACAAGUUUGUCAAUACCAACAUUUUAAAUAUUUAUUUAACAGUUAAAGCAAAUCACUCAUUGUAAAUAAUAAAUAUAUUAUAUAGAUAAAAGGUUAUUUUUGUAACCAUCUUUUCCAAUAGGCUAUAUAUUUUUCUAAAUUCACCCUGGCUGUUUUAUCGCAGUUAUCCUGUAUUAUUUAAUGACACCUAGUCUAUGUAAUCCACUUCAAAUGAUCAAUAUUUUAGGAAACCUUCCCUGAAUAAAUCUAGGCUUCAUAUGUGAGAUUAUCUCAGUGAUACACAUAUUAGGCUAUUACUCCAAGCUGAACUCAUGCAGCUAUUUGUUGAAGCAUGUAUUGAUUUUUGUUACUUAUCUCAAAACCAUAUUCAUUACAACUCAAACAGCAACGGUGCUUAGCAGCGCUUAAAUAUCCGCAUUUUCUCUCUCUGUACCUGGGUAAUGUCUGCCUGCAGCACCGGACUCCGCCAGAGACGUCUGCCUUGCCCGAGCACCUGACAUACUCUGCUGCUGCUCUUCUGUCCGCCCUUGCGCAAAUGUCUCAUAUUCAGUGUUGUGGUUUGUUCGUAAGUGUUUCACUAGGUUGGUUGUGUUGCCACAACUCUACACGGUUUUCCCACAGAUGUCACACAAUGCAUCCUGAAGAAAAAGUAGUCCCUACCAGCGGCGUGUCAUUUAGACAAGAUCUGAAUAGUUUAGUUACUUUCCACCAAAUUCCUGUCAAUGAUAUUGUGAUGUCACGAGAGGCUUGGUCUUGGAAGGGAGAUACGUUCACCGGCGAUGGCUCUAACUACUAUGGCUCCAUCUGCUGGUGCCCCGAAACUCAGAGCAUUCCCCUCACACCUGAGACCCAUCAGGGUGUGACGACCCGGAGGCCUUCAUAAAGGUGGAAGACACACCGUUGGGGGGGAGACGAGCUGAGAAGAGCAGACCAAGCCAUAAGGAUUCGAGGAGGCAGGAGAGACCGGGAGGACGGUGUUGUUUUCCUUAAAGAAGUGGAUUUCCGUUAAGUUAAGUUUUACCGGCAAAGAUUGACCGAAGCCUGAGUUACCCCCUGUUUUCUGUUGAACCUGAAGGACGGAAAUUAAAACCUUUUGUUUACAUUUUGAACCCGGUGUCCUCGCACUAUUUUGAACUACCCCGGAGAGAGCGGCGGCGCCUCUCGUGACAUCACAAUAUACAUUAUCAUGAAUGAAGUAUCAAAAGUAUCGAUAUUUUCAUUUAAAAAUUGAUUUUAGAGCAUACAGAUCUAGUAUCGGAAGUAUCGAUGUUUCAGUAUCGAUCCGCACAUCACUAUUAGGCACUGAUAGUGCGCGUAAAAUGUUGGUAACUGCUAGGCUACUUCUUUUUUCAACAUCUACCUUAAGCAGCACACAGUCCGCGGAGGACCACCACUGUUGCCCUUAAAGACAGUGGUUUGGAAAACGUCCUGGCUAAAUGGCGGGAGAAUGUUGGAACUCCGAACACAGCCUGUCAAAUGAUGAAGAGUUGAGAGCUCAGCAAACUGCACGAGGACAGCAGGCGAAGUCGCUAGUUCAAGAUGGUCCACCUGAUGGGAUUAUGCCCUGAAGAUGAUCAAAUGCAACAUUUGGUCUUUGGAAGGAAAAAAAAAGCAAUAAAUCUAGAUAUUUUAAAGUCUGUUUCAUGGUAUUCCUUAUUUCAGUUCAUUCAACAGCAUAAAGAUUCACCUGCAUUACAUUAUUUUUCACACCCCAUCAUGUAGACGACCCUAAUAUAAUGAUAAAAACAUUUUUGGGUGACAUACAAAUUGAGAGGUAUAGCUAAAUGUGUAUAAUAAUUUACAUUAAAAAACAUGUUUAACUAGAAAAUGCAUUUCCUGCUGAAAAUGC